UUAUCGCAAAUUGGACUUAUAUUUUGCCCCAAAAAUAAUAUUUUAUCAAAUUGUAACUUUAUGUUUACUCAUAAAAAAAAUCAUAACUAUAGGACCUACCUAGCCGUAAAUCUAUAUUUUUUUAAAGACGUAUAAAUCACGCUGCACCGACACCGCGCGCUCAGUCUCCGCCGAGUGCGCUUAGGGGACGGACCUGUGCUCGACCGUCAGGCGUUCGUUGCUUUCGUAACCAUCGAGAGAGUUCCGAGAAGUGCUGUAUACUAUGAUUAGAAAAUCUUGAUCCAAGGGUGUACAUUUUUUACACCAUAUUUAAUUUUAACAACCGACUCUCGCUUAUGUGAUAGAUUUUCAGUGUUACUUGAAUUCUGGUUAGGGUUUGCAUUUUUAUUAUACCCGGACGACCUGGAUGAUGUCCAGGUUCUCAUGAUGGAGUCAGGAAUGGUCACCGAACUCCUAAUCUACUCAUCAUAACUCCAUCGUGUUUGGGCUCAAUAGAUUUUCCUUGACGAACACCAUCGAUCUAGAUGAGGUCCAGGUUCUCAUGAUGGAGUCAGGAGUUGGUCACUAGAACUCCUAAUCUACUCAUUAACACUCCAUCGUGUUUGGGUUCAAAUGAUUUGCCCUGACGAGCACCAUCUAUCUAGAUAAGGUCCAGGGUCAUGAGACCCUUCUGGUGACCAACUUCUGACUCCAUCAUGAGAUGGUCACCAGAAGUCCUAAUUUACUCAUCAUAAGUCCAUCGUGUUUGGGCUCAAUCGAUUUGCCUCGACGAGCACCAUCUAUCUAGAUGAGGUCCAGGUUCUCAUGAUGGAGUCAGGAGUUGGUCACCAGAACUCCUAAUCUACUCAUUAUCACUCCAUCGUGUUUGGGCUCAAUCGAUUUGCCUCGACGAGCACCAUCUAUCUAGAUGAGGUCCAGGGUCAUGAGACCCUUCUGGUGACCAGCUCCUGACUCCAUCAUGAGAUGGUCACCAGAUGUUCUAAUCUACUCAUCAUAACUCCAUCGUGUUUGGGCUCAAUAGAUUUGCCCCGACGAGCACCAUCGAUCUAGAUGAAGUCCAGGUUCUCAUGAUGGAGUCAGGAGUUGGUCACCAGAAAUCCUAAUCUACUCAUUAUCACUCUAUCGUGAUUGGGCU